UACGAGGGGGCAAGCGUUGUUCGGAAUUAUUGGCGUAAAGGGCGCGUAGGCGGUGCGGUAAGUCUGUUGUCGGAAAUCUCCGGGCUCAACUCGGAGUCUGCAUCAGAAACUGGCCGUGCUCGAGUGUGGGAGAGGUGAGUGGAAUUCCCGGUGUAGCGGUGAAAUGGCGUAGAGUAUCGGGAAGGAACACCUGCGGCGAAA
rnacentral:rRNA from 1 species